rnacentral:rRNA from 1 species
CUACCAUGCAAGUCGAGCGGUAACAGGGGAAGCUUGCUUCUCGCUGACGAGCGGCGGACGGGUGAGUAAUGUAUGGGGAUCUGCCCGAUAGAGGGGGAUAACCACUGGAAACGGUGGCUAAUACCGCAUAAUCUCUUAGGAGCAAAGCAGGGGAACUUCGGUCCUUGCGCUAUCGGAUGAACCCAUAUGGGAUUAGCUAGUAGGUGGGGUAAUGGCUCACCUAGGCGACGAUCCCUAGCUGGUCUGAGAGGAUGAUCAGCCACACUGGGACUGAGACACGGCCCAGACUCCUACGGGAGGCAGCAGUGGGGAAUAUUGCACAAUGGGCGCAAGCCUGAUGCAGCCAUGCCGCGUGUAUGAAGAAGGCCCUAGGGUUGUAAAGUACUUUCAGUCGGGAGGAAGGCGUUGAUGCUAAUAUCAUCAACGAUUGACGUUACCGACAGAAGAAGCACCGGCUAACUCCGUGCCAGCAGCCGCGGUAAU